rnacentral:rRNA from 1 species
UACAGAGGGUGCGAGCGUUAAUCGGAAUUACUGGGCGUAAAGCGUGCGCAGGCGGUUUUGUAAGUCAGAUGUGAAAUCCCCGGGCUCAACCUGGGAACUGCAUUUGUGACUGCAAGGCUAGAGUGCGGUAGAGGGUAGUGGAAUUCCCGGUGUAGCAGUGAAAUGCGUAGAGAUCGGGAGGAACAUCCGUGGCGAAGGCGGCUCACUGGACCGGUAUUGACGCUGAGGUGCGAAAGCGUGGGGAGCAAACAGG